GACGAACGCUGGCGGCGUGCUUAACACAUGCAAGUCGAACGGUAAGGCCCUUCGGGGUACACGAGUGGCGGACGGGUGAGUAACACGUGGGUGAUCUGCCCUGCACUUCGGGAUAAGCCUGGGAAACUGGGUCUAAUACCGGAUAGGACCACUGCCUGCAUGGGUGGUGGUGGAAAGCUUUUGCGGUGUGGGAUGGGCCCGCGGCCUAUCAGCUUGUUGGUGGGGUGAUGGCCUACCAAGGCGACGACGGGUAGCCGGCCUGAGAGGGUGACCGGCCACACUGGGACUGAGAUACGGCCCAGAGUCCUACGGGAGGCAGAAGUGGGGAAUAGUGCACAAUGGGCGCAAGCCUGAUGCAGCGACGCCGCGUGAGGGAUGACGGCCUUCGGGUUGUAAACCUCUUUCAGCACCGACGAAGCGCAAGUGACGGUAGGUGCAGAAGAAGGACCGGCCAACUACGUGCCAGCAGCCGCCGCAG
rnacentral:rRNA from 1 species